UCUCAUUCACAAGGGCAAGCCCAUUUCUGAAUCUCUCAUUGUUGUUCAGUACAUUGACGAGGUUUGGCAUGACAGAACUCCCUUGUUACCUUCUGACCCUUACCAGAGAGCUCAGGCUAGAUUCUGGGCUGACUUUGUUGACAAGAAGGUAUCCUUUUUGUGCUUCAAUGCUUUGAUUCUUACUUGCAACCAUGAAGCUUUUGUUAUGAUUAUGGUAUAUAAUGAUGUAUAGUUUGGUUGUAUUGGAAAAUGGGAGAUGCAUAAUGUAAGGAAGAUGAUCCCCACUAGGAUAGACAUAGCUACUUUCUUCAUAUCUUUUUAUCCUGUGAUUUCCAUAAUUUAUAUUAAGUGGUUAUGAAAGUUUUGUUCUUCUUUAGCAAGAUGUAGGAAAAAGUAUUAGAUUAAUAGUUGUGUAAGUUGAUCCUUUUCUCAUUAUUACACUUUUAUGAUCUGAUUGAUUGUUAAUUCUGAAAUGUCAAAUAGAUGUAUGAUCUUGGAAGGAAGAUUCUUUGGACAUCAAAAGGAGAAGAAAACGAAGUUGCUAAGAAGGAGUUCAUUGAAACCCUUAAAGUGUUGGAGGAACAACUGGGAGACAGGACUUAUUUUGGAGGAGACAAUCUUGGUUUCAUGGAUGUAGCACUUGUACCAUUUUACACUUGGUUUGAAGCCUAUGAGACUUUUGGCGGCCUCAACUUAGAGAGUGAGUGCCCUAAGUUUAUUGCUUGGGCCAAGAGGUGCCUCCAGAAAGAGAGUGUUGCUAAGUCUCUUCCUGAUCAACAUAAGAUCCAUGAGAUCGUUGUGGAGAUGAGAAAGAAAUCAGGCAUUGAGUAGGUUCAUUGAGUAGGUUUAGGUUUCAGCUUAAUGAUCAUAGUAAAGUAUUGACUUCCAUUCCUCAUUCUUAACCUUUCCAUUGAAUAAAAUUUAUGUAAUAAAAGGCACUACUUGAAUGUGCCAAAGUUCAUGUCUUCUAUAGUAGCUAUUGGGAAACCUCGGAUGUACCUUUCAUGUGGUUGUUGUAAUUUAGUAUUUUAUGUAUUAUCAUAUACUUGAGUCGGUGGAUGACAGUGUUUGUUACAUGAAGUGAAACAAAUUUUUAACACGAUUGUUAUUGCUUUCUUUGUACAAUAGGAACAUGAUUAAAAACAAGCUUGCGAGUUCACAACUUCAUUAAGACUUUUGUAACAUCAUGUUUAGUCAACAUUUUGGAUAUGGAGAAAUGAUAUUUUAAAUGUAAAUUAAACUUCAUGUAAUAAGUUACAAGUACAUUUUUUUCUAUUUUUUUACCACAUAUGGAUUCAUCAGGACCAUCAGAAUUAUGUAAUAAUGUCCCUAGCUUGUUGCUGGCAUUUCAUAUUUCCAUCUACCUAUGAUGUGUGUUUAUAUAAUCACUAUAGGAUGGUAAUAAUUAAAAAAGACUUGUCUUUUUACCAUAUAUUAUAUAUUAUAUAGCUUGAACUCUGCAAAAGAAUUAGCUUCCUUUUAAUAAGUUAUUCAAAGAUAAUUAUAUUAAUUUAUAUAUAAUCAUGUUAUAUAUAUAAAAAACAGGUAUAAAAAGUAUGGGACCAAACCAAAUCUUUCAAACAAAAGCAAAACUCCUUAAGGAUACAACCUAUAUAAACUUAAAGUCAAAGAGGGACAUCUAUUUUCUUCCAAAAAAAAUGAGAGAAACUUAAAUGUCAGGGUCUUAUAGUAAACAAGACAUUCAAUCCACCUUCCUCUAAGAGACCAAGGAUCUAUUUGAAUGUUAGAAAAAACUUAGCAAACUAAUGAAGAGUCACACAUCACCCAAAUACAUAUGAAGUUGCGUUCAAUUGAGAUUUCAACCACAAGAAUAACACCAACCAAUUCAUAAAAGAGAUUUUUUAACAUCGAGGCAAAUUCACCUAUGUGAUCACCACGAAUUCACCUAUAAAUUCCUCCACUAACAACAUGACUUAAGCCUCUCUAAUUUGAUCUUUGUUUCUUGGUCUAGUUUGAAUAUCAAAAGUCUUCAAAAUGGAAAAGUUAAUAAUAUCAUUUUUCAUAUUUUUUUAUAGUAUUACCUGUCAUACAAAUAUAGCAAUGCAUUGUAUGAAAAGCAGUGUGAAAAGUUACCCAAUGUUGGAAGCAAGCAAAAUUCCUCAUCUUUAAGAUCAUCUGAACAAUGUAGGAAACUAAAACUAACCAAGUCUCCUUGAUAAGAGGAUUUCCUGCCCUACAGAAGAAUAUUAAAAUAUUUCGACCAAACGAGAAAUCAAACCUAGAAAGAUAUCUUGAAUCCAAGAUUGAAAGUUUACAAAUUGGGCAUUCAAAGCAUCGUAGUUUCCUCUUGCUUGUUAUAUGAGCUGCAUAUAGAACAAAGAAAAAUGCCUUUCAAUUGCACUUAUUUAUCAGUUGGAAUCUUAUUAUGAAGAAUUUUCCAUAAAAGUAGUUUUUUUUUUUAAGUUCUCAUGUUAGACAUUAUUAUGAAAUUUGACAUAUCUUAGUUAGGUUGACACCUCAAGUAACAACAAUUAUCUGUCACCAUAUGGAAAAAAAUAUUAUUAAAAGAAAAAGAGAGGAAAUACAAGAAAAUAUGGGGGACUAGAUCAAAACUCAUAUUAACAAAAACGGUAUAUAUGUAAUCUAUACCUAUUAAUAAAGAACUCUAAGACAAGACUAAUGGAAGCCUAUUAUACCGAUGAAAAUACUCUCUAUGAAUAAAACCUAAGUUACAAAGCUUACCAACACAUGCAUUCCCUUAACGAAAAAUAUGAAAAACCAUAAACCUGAUUUCCCCAUAGUAGUUAAGACAAGUGUUCCACUUAUUACAAAGCAUUCAAGGAACAUUAGUUCGAGUAGUAAAUGCAUCACAGAUCAAGGCAGAAUCACAUCAUAAACUAGUAAGAUCCAUCUUUUGAGCUUGUUCAAUAUCAUGUGUGCAGAAUAACUAUGGUGAAUUAGAGCAUCGCAACAGCAGAAUUUAAACCAUGAGAAAACCAGAUAACACCAAAGUGUAGCAGCAGCAAUACAACAUAUAAAACCACACCAUUCUCCCCCUAUUUGUUUUCACAAAUAGAAUGAAAGAAGGGAUAAAAACAGGAUUAAGAAAAACCAGAAUACCAGUAUGUGUAGCAACACCAUUGCAGCAACAAACCUGUGAUACCAUAUCAAAAUUGCAGCAAAAUCUAUGGUGUAUCAGAGCUAUGACAACAGCAGAAUCAAAGUACCAUAGACCCCAGAAAUUUCAGCAAGGAGACCAAAGUUUCUCCCCCUAUCUUUUCUUCAUUCAAGUUGGUCAAAUGAUUGCUCAAGAGGUGGAUUUGGUUGAAAUAUUCUUUCUUCUGUUAAGAGCAAACCUUCCAGACGUUCCAAAGAUACAUUCACAAAUAUUCAUCAAUCCCAUGACCACCAAUGUGGUUGCCAUUCAUAAAAAGCUUUGAAUUUCAAGGAAAACAAAGAGUAUAUCUCUUUAUGAUCUAAUUCAUAGGCACAAAGAAUGCAUAUUUGACUCAUAAUGGGUUAUGAAAGAAAAGGAACAACUGUAAUCAUGCAUAAGAAAUCAUAACAUCUUUAUUCAAAUGUGCCAGAGGUAUAACAAUCGGUUGUUUCGUGCAAACAAUCAAUUGUUUUUCUGAGACAACAAAAAAAUGUUAUUUUUCAAAGCAAAUCAUCUUUCAAAGUGAUGAGAAAUGCAUAAUGAAAUACAUUCAUAUCUUUGCAUUACCUCAACAUAUUUAGAAGUUCAUUUGGUCUUAUGAAGCCAAAAGCAUAGGAUGAACAUAUACAACUUACUUUACAUAGGUCAUGAAUUUUGACUUGUCAAGAAUUUGAGUAAGGUGUAUGCUCUUGAACCAUAAGCAUCACUUUGAUUAUUCUUCAUCAUAGCACCCAUACUUGAAAGGUCCUGCAACACAUAAUUGAUGCAUAUACAAAGCAAGUAUAGCAGCAAGAUAACAAAACACACACAAACUGGUUUUCUGCAUAUACAACAUUAGUAGAAAAACCAGAAAAAUGAAGUGUUCAAGAGCUUUCAAGUGCAGAAUAGCAAAAACAUAAUGCACAUAUUUAAAGCUAACUAUACAACCAAAUCAAGCAUAAAAUUCUCCCCCUAUUUGAUCUACAAAUAGAAAAUGAGAAGGGUUGUACAAAGCAGAAAUCAGAAUAAUAACACAGUAGUUUAGCAGUACAAACAAUUUUGACAUUUCAAGAAUAAAGCAUGUCAUAGAGCUUUCAAGAAAACAAGUGGAUAUAAUCUUUUAUUAUCAUACUCUGAGGCACACUCAAUGUAUAUUUGUCUAAAAGCAAGAUUUGAAAAAGAGGAAUGGUUUAAUCAUGCAUAAGCAAAAUUGGCAGCAUAAUAUAAAGGUGUUAGAGGAAAAACAAUCGGUUGUUUUGAAAAAACAAUUGGUUGUUUUGAAAAAACAAUUGGUUGUUUUGAAAAAACAAUUGGUUGUUUUACUGUGACAGCAAAAAGAACAUUUUUCAUAACCAAAAAUUACCUUUUAAAUUAAUGAAAUGCAGUAUGCAAUUUGUUCAUACCUUUGCACAGAGAACCCCAAUAGAUUCACCCAAAAAGAAGACUUUGAGAUGUUCAUAUGGUCAAAAGGCACACUUACAUAAAUUGAGAAAAUAAAAAAACACAUACCCUCUUUGAAGUUUUUUUUUUAUCAACAUUAUGCGUGUGCCAAAGAUGUCUCUUGACAUUCAAAGAACCUUGCAAGACAUAUACAAUUGAAAAGUGUAGGUACAAAGAUUGUCUUUGCUCUUGAUAUUCUUCCCUUUAGCAGUCAUUCUUCAAGCCCAAAAGUGAUUCUUGGCUGCCAAGGAUACCUACAAGAAAACAUUAAGAAGCAAGAUUUGGUCCCCUUAUGAAUUUGGGUCCAAUGAUGUUAGUAGAAGUCUUAGGAACCUCGGAAACCUUAGGAACCCAUUUCAAAAUACCUUUAGAAACAAAAAACAUCUUAAUAUUGCAGAAUCUAAUUGAGUGGCCUCUCUUCAUGCAAUAAAAGCAUGUAACAACUGGUUGUUUCGAUUUUUCAAUCAGUUGUUUUUCUGGCAGUUUUGAAAAAGACUUUGAAAACUCGGUUUUCUUGAUCUGUGGAUUAAAACCUAAACCUGCUUUUCCAAAAACACAAUUUUGAGAUCCCAAGACAGUCUCAAAGUUGGAUUUACCCUUUGAAAGUCUAUCCACAGUUUUCACAAGGUAGUGAACCUUCUUUUCAAGAGAAUCACAAUUUUCACAAACAAGAGAGUCACACUUGCAAGAAGAGUUCUUGUAAAGCAUUUAUAGAUUUUCAAAAUCAGUUUUUGAAUUCUCCAACUCUUCUUCUAGAGCCUUGGCUCUGUUUUCAAGCCAGUUAUUCAACCCUUUUAACUGGUUGUUAAAGAUUACCAAUCGGUUAGCUUCCUCAUGUGUUUCUUUAAAAGCUUGAAGAAGUUGACUAUAAUUUUCAGCAUUUAAAUAAUUACAAGAACUUACACUACUUGCAUCAUCUUCUUCCUUGGUCAUCAAACACAUAUUGACUUCUUUUUUAUUUUGCUUUAUUUUCCUUCUUGCUUGACUUCUUCUCCUUGCUCUCUUUAUUUCAUUGGUUCCCUCAUGAGUUACUUCAAGUGUAUCCCGCAUCUCCCUAACAAAUCCACAUUUUGAGACCCUGAAAAACUCAUUAGAAUUUAAGGCAGAGGUGAUAAUAUUUUUUGCAAUACAAUCAUAUUGUGCUCUUUCACUUUCACUCUUAGUCCAUUGGGACCAAGGUUUUUCAAACAAAACAUCAUCUUUUUCAAACAUAGGAAUAAAAGGACCAUUUUCUAUUGCAUCCCAAACUCCUCUAUCAAGUGAUUCAACAAAGAUUUUCAUUCUAACCUUCCAAAACUAAUAGUUCAAACCACAAAAUAAAGGUGGCCUGUUUAUUGAGGCACCCUCCCCAAAAGGUAAUUUUUUAGCCAUAAGAAAAAUGUUUUUAUGAUCAAACUUGAAUAUCUUUCAAGAACCAAGCUCUUGAUGCCAAUUGUUAGAAUAUAUGGCCUUAAACAAGAGGGGGGUGAAUUGUUUAUAAGAGAUUUUCUCAAACUUUGAAGGUAUAAUGAAAUUCAAUGCUGAAUUACAGAGAAAAGAAUCAAGGAAACAAAGACCCAAAACUGUUUUAAGAUGAUAUCAGAAAAACAAUCGGUUGUUUAUACUAGUUAGAACUCAAACAACUUAAAAACAGAAUUUAAAGAGUUAAGGGUAAGAGAUAAGAACACAAGCAAUUUAUACUGGUUCACUCUUACACCAAGAGCUACAUCCAGUUCCCAGAAACCACUGGGUAAACCACUAUGCAAUCAAAACCAGAUUACAAACACCACACACCAAAGUAGUGACCUGGAACCCCUCAAGAAACACACUACCUUUGACAUACCACACCAAGAAUGUUGAUCUUGAACACCUCAAGAACACACAACACUCCUUGGCAACACAAAUACAGAAAUACAGUAAUCAAGGAAGAAGGGAAUAGAAUACACCUGGGUAUUACAAAGCUUAAAGUUCAGAAUUACAACCCAAUCCUAUUCCACACACUUAAGAAUGAUCCAAAGCUCUUUCAAAUCUUGGAAAAAUUGUUUUGAUAAACUCUUUCUCUUACACCAAGAUUAGGAGCGUAAAACCACCUUUAUAUAGACCAACCAAGUGGUCAAAAAUAUUUAAUAAAGGAGCCAAGGUAGUUAGAGUCAUUUAAAGCAUAUUAAAACCACUUAACAGAAUUCUGUUAAGGUUUUCAGAAAAACAAUCGAUUGUUUUGUCGAAACAAUCGGUUGAAUUGACUUGACAGCAAAGUCAUCCUUUUCAAAAACUGCUAAGGUAAAACAACUUGUUGUUUCGAAAUUUCAACCUGUUAACAUGUUGUUUCGAAAAACAACCUGUUGAAAUUUCAACAACAUUUUAGAAAACUCAUCUUUUCAAAAGGUUAAAGAUUCAAAUGAACUUGGAUCAUCUUAAGGAGUGAAUUAACAAGUUUCAAACAACUAGACAACACACACACACACCCAGCAGCAAGGUCUUCAAGCUUUUCUCUUGGAUUUGGAGACAUCAAAGCAUCUUGUUCAACAGUCUCCCCCUAUUUAAUGAAGACAAAUCCCUGGUUUGUUUGUGUUGUUUUUUUUUUAACUUGAUAGAUCCUGCAAAACAGAAUUUGUGCAUAUACAAAGCAAGUAUACCAGUAGGAUACCAAGGCACACAAAACCAGUUUUCUGCAUAAGCCUUUAAGCAGAAAAACCAGUCAAAUAACCAUAAAAAUUAGUGCCAAAAUUAGACUUGUGUGCAGCAAAACUAUGAUGAAUAAGAGCAUCGUAGCAACAGAAUUUAAACCAUGAUAAAACCAGAUAACACCAGAGUGUAGCAGCAGCAAUACAACACAUAAAACCACACCAGUUCUGAAAUAUGUGGUGUAUUUGCCAAAGGUAGUGUAUGUUCUUGAUGGGUUCAAGAUCACCAUUUUGGUGUGUUGUGUGUGUAAUCAAGGUUUUUAAUUGUUUAGUGAAUUCUCAGUGGUUGUUGAGGAUUGAAUGUAGCUCUUGGUAAAGAGUGAACCUGUAUAAAACUCUUUGUGUUAAUUUCUCUAUCCUUUCUCUCUUUUAAUUUUUUUUUUUGCUUUGUUUUUAACACUGAUGGUAUAAACAACUGAUUAUUUCGCAAAAACAACCGGUUGAUUUUCUACAAUCACAUUAAAAACAUUUUUGAACUUGGCUAAACUGAUUUCUAAUUGAUUGAUUCCUCAUUGUCUUUCAAUCAACCUUUAACAUUUGCGAAAAUAUUUUAUAAACAAUUCACUCCCACUCUUGUUUAAGGCCUACAUUUCUAACCAAAUAAUCAUUGUUGUCUUUGUGGAGCGUUUGAGGAGACGACAAGUCAUCUUUUUGUUGGCCGCAGAGUGUCCCGACUUAUUUGGAAUCUUUGCUACGCUUGGUUAGGAGUGAGUUUGGUAGACCAUCUUGAUCCUACUUCGCAUUUUACCCAGUUUAAGUUACUCGAUGCGCCUACGUCGGUUAAUCUAAUCUUGGGAAGUAUUUGGGUUGCACUAGUCAGUGUCAUUUGGAGGCAUAGAAACAAUUGCAUCUAUAAAGGUGGAGUGCUCGACCAUUCUGAAAUUUUCUCCUCGGCUCAAUUAAAGGUUUGGUCUUGGGUUUCCUCUAAAGUUCCUUCGGUAUGUUUUUCCUUCUCUGAUUGGUGCCUAGAACCCCUGGUAUGUAUUAUUUGAUUAAAAGCUUGUGGUUGUUUUAGGUUGGUUGGGUUGCUUUCUUUGUGUUGUUGAGGGGUGCUUGAUAUUGAGAGGGCUUUAAGAGGUAGGCGUUCAAGUUAUUCUUAGUUUGAAGGCUUGGUUGGGGUUGUUUGUUUGGUAGGUAGUUGUAGGCAUUUUGUUGGGUUGUGCUUUGGUAGGGAGAGAGGUUUGCCCUUCACUAUGCUAUGUUUUAGGGUUGGUCCACCCCUGAAGUGGAUCAUAUUUAUUUAUUUUUUCUUGCUGAUAAAAAAACUAAUCCUAAUUAAUAAUCGAGUAUUCUUUACGAAAUAGCCAUUUCUGGCUAAGAUACAAAAAAUUUCUGAGUGGAGAUCAACAGAUAACACAGUUGCUCACUAGAGAGGAUUAUCGCUAUAGACGUAUACAAGCUUUGUGCACUUUCCUCUAGCUUUCUAAUUAAACACGGAUAAUUUUCUUUAUGAAAAUUUUGAUGGGCGUAUAAAUUUUAGCAAUAUUUCAGUACAAUGCAACAUGGUCCUUUUUUUUUCUUCUUAAAUUGCUUUAUAUAAGCUUUAAAAAAGCAUUCGUUGUAAAUCCAUUUUUGGCCAUUGAACAACUUCAACUCUUUUGAAUGUUCUUUCUGCAAUUUGACGAGUUCGAAAGUGGAUUGUGCAUUAAAUGCACUCCAUGCAACAUUAAAUGUCAUGUUACUCUUUAACAUAACCACCUAAUAGAUGGGAUGUGUUUAUCCCUUCUUUGACAUUGUGCCUUUGGUUGACUUUGUUUAAAGCAUAAAGUUAUAUGAAGUAAAUAGUCUUUCCAUAAUUUUCAAUGCUAGCAUCGCGACAUAUUUGAAGAAAAACAAAUUUAAGUAUUUAUCCAAGAGAUCCUUUGAUAUAACUUGUGUUUGCAAAAUCUUCUUUAACAUACGAAAGCAACCGUCAUUCCCUAUAACAUAAAAUAAACAUAUAUGUUUUUGUCUAGUGCGAGCUUAGAAUAAACAUGUAUGUUUUGUGUAGAAUAAAAUCUUUAUCAGAUAUAAUGAUAAGACUCCACAAUGUUGUAUCGUUUGUCAGACGAAACAAUUACAUCUUAUCUGAUCAGUUGUUAAAAUAAGGUUUCAUCUUAAAAAUAAAGCAUAACAAUGUCUACAAUUAUUUUCAACACUUAAUCAAAAUCAUAAAUGUUUAUAAAUUUUGUACAAUAAGUAUUUAUAAAUUUUAUUUUUAGUACAAUAAAAAAAUAGUCUUAAUAUAAUUUUUUUAAUUUUGUUAGUUUAAAAUUAACGUUAUUAAUGUUAAUUUUAUCUUUAAUAACACAUGAAAAUUACUAAAGAUCAAACACUUUGUCAUUUACCUCAAUCAUUAACAGAGUAUAAACAAAAAUAUAUAAUUAAUUUUUUAUAAUAAAAUUGUUUUUCUUUUUUUUCUUAUUAUAUAAAAACUAAAUAUAUAAAUACUUAUUCUAAACAAAUAAAUAUAAUUCAAGUUUAACUAUUUAUCCAAAAAAAAUGUAAUUCAAGUUUAGUUUGUUACGAGUUAGAUACUCGCUUAAAAAAUUAGACCUUAAGAAACAAUUUUUCAUAAUUAUAAAAAUAUACUCAUAAUAAACCUUUAUUAUUAGUAAAAUAUUUACUAAUAAUAAAAAAAUAUACAUCAAAGUCUUAAAGUUGUACCUUAUUAAAACUAUUAUUUACAUAAUUAUAAAAGAAAUACUAUUUUUGUAAAUAUAUAUAUAUAUAUAUAUAUAUAUAUAUAUAUAUAUAUAUAUAUAUUAUGAUAUAGUUCUCCAGUGAAUCAGAAUGUCAGAUGAAGAAAAUUUAAUAUGUAUUGUUUCAAUUUAUUUUAAAAUAUACCCUGCUUGAUUAAUUCUCCAUCAUAAAAGUCAUUUUUGCAUCAAUUCUAAAGNNNNNNNNNNNNNNNNNNNNNNNNNNNNNNNNNNNNNNNNNNNNNNNNNNNNNNNNNNNNNNNNNNNNNNNNNNNNNNNNNNNNNNNNNNNNNNNNNNNNNNNNNNNNNNNNNNNNNNNNNNNNNNNNNNNNNNNNNNNNNNNNNNNNNNNNNNNNNNNNNNNNNNNNNNNNNNNNNNNNNNNNNNNNNNNNNNNNNNNNNNNNNNNNNNNNNNNNNNNNNNNNNNNNNNNNNNNNNNNNNNNNNNNNNNNNNNNNNNNNNNNNNNNNNNNNNNNNNNNNNNNNNNNNNNNNNNNNNNNNNNNNNNNNNNNNNNNNNNNNNNNNNNNNNNNNNNNNNNNNNNNNNNNNNNNNNNNNNNNNNNNNNNNNNNNNNNNNNNNNNNNNNNNNNNNNNNNNNNNNNNNNNNNNNNNNNNNNNNNNNNNNNNNUAUAUAUAUAUAUAUAUAUAUAUAUAUAUAUAUAUAUUAUGCCACACUACCAAGAUAUUUAUUUAAGUAGAUUGUCUUUUUUAAUCAAAGAUUUAUUUAAGCAUUUGAAAAUUAAAAAUGUCGCUUAAAACACAAGACACCAAAAACAUAAUUUACGAAAUCUAAAAUAUUAUUAUACAUAUUUUAUAUUUCAGAUAUGACAAAUAAAAACAAAAAUAAUGUUGGGUUUUCAUUUUAUUUGUAUUUGAUGUAUUAUAAAACUAUGAUCUAAGCCAUUACAACAUCAUCGGAUGCAACUCAAGUUGCUUUUGGUUACAGUUUAAAAAUCAAUGCUUUUCUUUUCUUUCUAUUUCUACUUAAAGUUUUCAAAAGACUAUGAUCUAAGCGAUUACAUCAUCGGGUCAACCUCAAGUUCCUUUCUUUUUCUUUUUAAAUUAUUCAUAUAACUUUGACUGUUUAUUAAUUGGGUUGUUUCUAACUCCACGAAUUAUUUUACAAAACGAAGAAAAAUAUAUUUAUUCUACUUAGCACUUUUACUUUUAAUACUAAACUAACUAUAAUUAACUGUAAAGAAUUAAAUAUAAUAUUAAAAACAUCAAGAUUAGAACUUAAAAAUCAUUUUAAAAUUAAUAAUUACUUAAAAAUAGAUAAAAACAAGACAACUUAAUAAUACCAAAUAUAUGAAAACUAUUACUUAAAAACUAAUUUUAGAUAACAAAAUAAUUAGUUAUUAUUCAACUAAAAUAAGAAGUAUUUUAUAAACUAAAUUUUUUAUUGAUAUUUAAAAUAAUUUUUAUUAUUGAUAAAAAAAAUUAUAAAAUAGUUUCUAAAUCAGUAUUAACUAUUAGCUACUUACUACUUUAUAUUCCCAAUUAGUCUCUAUAAAUAUUUUAUAUAUUACUUUAGAAACUAAAAUAGUAAGUAGUUAAAAAAAAUUUAGUAACUAAUUUAGAUACCAAUUUAAAAACUAUUUUAUAGAUUUUUAUUAAUAAUAAAAAUCAUUUUUAAAAAAAAAUUAGUCUUUAAAAUAAUAUCUAAUUUAAUUGGUAUAAUAAAUAAAUAUCUUUUAUCUUUAAAUUUAUUGUUAGGAGAACACGUGGUAGAAAAUAGAAUGUGAUGUGAAAAAUUAUAGCACCGUGGAAGAGGACUUGUUCUCGAUCUUGUUUAGUGCAGUUUGGCAGGGACUCUGGCCCUCGUCACAUUUAGAUAUGGAAUGUCCUUUCAAAUUAACAUGCUUGUGCUGUGUAGAAGCUAAGAUAAAAAAAUAACACUUUAGAAUAUUCCAGAAUACACAUUAACAAUGGUAGCAUCUCAAUACUCCAGAACCUGCGAACCAAAAACAACAUGUAAUAAUCUUAUUUGCAGUUAAGCUAGAUGAUUCUUUAAUUAUGCCAAACUUACAUUGACUAUAAUAGUUAUAUUUGAAUAAUUCAAAGUUCAAAACUAGCUAUAAAUAUGAAGGCCUCACUCUUCUUUUGCAAUGGAAAUCACUUUCUUAUUUGAUUCUUCUUUUAUUAUCUGUUCUUGAAGUUGAAUGAGUAUGGCAGAUGAGGUGGUUCUGCUAGAUUUCUGGCCAAGUCCGUUUGGGAUGAGGGUGAGGAUCGCACUUGCUGAAAAGGGUAUAAACUAUGAGUACAAAGAAGAGGACUUGAAGAACAAGAGUCCUCUUCUCCUCCAAAUGAACCCAGUUCACAAGAAAAUUCCUGUUCUCAUUCACAAGGGCAAGCCCAUUUCUGAAUCUCUCAUUGUUGUUCAGUACAUUGACGAGGUUUGGCAUGACAGAACUCCCUUGUUACCUUCUGACCCUUACCAGAGAGCUCAGGCUAGAUUCUGGGCUGACUAUGUUGACAAGAAGGUAACCUUUUUGUGCUUCAAUGCUUUGAUUCUUACUUGCAACCUUUUUGGGCUGACUAUGUUAUGAUUAUGGUAUAUAAUGAUGUAUAGUUUGGUUGUAUUGGAAUAUGGGAGAUGCAUAAUGUAAGGAAGAUGGUCCCCACUAGGAUAGAAAUAGCUACUUUCUUUAGAGAUUUUUAUCCUGUGAUUUCCAUAAUUUAUAUUAAGUGGUUAUGAGAGUUUUGUUCUUCUUUAGCAAGAUGUAGGAAAAAGUAUUAGAUUAAUAGGUCUGUAAGUUUAUCCUUUUCUCAUUAUUACAUUCUUAUGAUCUAAUUGAGUGUUAAUUCUGAAAUGUCAAAUAGAUAUAUGAUAAUGGAAGGAAGAUUGUUUGGACAUCAAAAGGAGAAGAAAAAGAAGUUGCUAAGAAGGAGUUCAUAGAAGGCCUUAAAGUGUUGGAGGAACAGCUGGGAGACAAGACUUAUUUUGGAGGAGACAAUCUUGGUUUUGUGGAUGUAGCACUUGUACCAUUUUACACUUGGUUUGAAGCCUAUGAGACUUUUGGGGUUUUCAACUUAGAGAGUGAGUGUCCAAAGUUUAUUGCUUGGGCCAAGAGGUGCCUCCAGAAAGAGAGUGUUGCUAAGUCUCUUCCUGAUCAACAUAAGAUCCAUGAGAUUGUUGUGGAGAUGAGAAAGAAAUCAGGCAUUCAGUAGGUUCAGGUUUCAACUUAAUGAUCAUAAUAAAGUAUUGGCUUCCAUUCCUCAUUCAUAACCUUUCCAUUGAAUAAAAUUUAUGUAAUAAAAGGCACUACUUGAAUGUGCCAAAGUUCAUGUCUUCUGUAGUAGCUUUUGGGAAACCUCGGAUGUACCUUUCAUGUGUUUAUUGUAAUUUAGUAUUUUAUGUAUUAUCAUAUACUUGAGUCAGUGGAUGACAGUGUUUGUUACUUGAAGUGAAACGAAGUUUUAACAUGGUUGUUAUUGCUUUCUUUAUACAAUAGGAACAUGAUUAAAAACAAGCUUGCGAGUUCCCAACUUCAUUAAGAGUUUUGUAACAUCAUGUUUAGUCAACAUUUUGGAUAUAGAGAAAUGAUUAUAUAUUUUAAGUGUAAAUUAAACUUCAUAUAAUAAGUAUUUUUUUACCAUAUAUGGAUUCAUCAGACCAUCAAAUUAUUAAUAAUGUCCCUAGCUUGUUGCUGGCAUUUCAUAUUUCCAUCUAUCUCUGAUAUGUGUGUAUAUAAUCACUAUAGGAUGGUAAUAAUCAAAAGAGUCUUGUCUUUAUACCAUAUAUUAUAUGUUAUAUAGUAUGAACUCUACAAAAGAAUUAGCUUCCUUUUAAUAAGUUAUUAUAUUAAUUUUAUAUAUAAUCAUGUUAUACAUCACUAUAUAAAAAAAAGUAUAAAAAGUAUGGGACCAAACCAAAUCUUUCAACACAAAAGCAAAAGUCCUUAAGGAUACAACUUAUAUAAACCUAAAGUCAAAGAGGGACAUCUAUUUUCUUCCCAGAAAAAUGAGAGAAACUUAAAUGUCAGGGUCUUAUAGUUCUCAAGACAUUCAAUCCACCUUCCUCUAAGAGACUAAGGAUUUAUCUGAAUGUUAGAAAAAACUUAGCAAACUAAUGAAGAGUCACACAUCACCCAAAUACAUCUGAAGUUGCGUUCAAUUGAGAUUUCAACCACAAGAAUAACACCAACCAAUUCAUAAAAGAUAUUUUUUAACAUCGAGACAAAUUCAUGUAUAUGAUCACCACGACUUCACCAAUAAAUUCCUCCAUUAGCAACAUGACUUAUGCCUCCCUAAUUUGAUCUUUGUUCCUUGGUCUAGUUUGAAUAUCAAAAGUCUUCAAAAUGGAAAAGUUAAUAAUAUCAUUUUCAUAUUUUUCUUUAUAGAAUUACUUUUCAUACAAAUAUUGCAAUGCAUUGUAUAAAAAGGAGUGUGAAAAGUUACCCAAUGUUGGAAGCAAGAAAAAUUCCUCAUCUUUAAGAUCAUCUGAACAAUGUAGGAAACUACAACUAACCAAGUCUUCUUGAUAAGAGGAUUUCCUGCCCUACGGAAGAAUGUUAAAAUAUUUUGACCAAACAAGAAAAUCAAACCUAGAAAGAUAUCUUGAAGCCAAGAUUGGAAGUUUACAAAUUGGGCAUUCAAAACAUCGUGCUUUCCUCUUGCUUGUUAUAUAAGCUGCAUAUUGAACAAAAGAAAAUGCCUUUCAAUUGCACUUAUUUAUCAGUUAGGAUUUAAUUAUGAAGAAUUUUCCAUAAAAGUAGAGUUCUUUUUUAAGUUCUCAUGUUAGAAAUUAUUAUGAAAUUUGACAUAUAUUAGUUAGGCUGACACCUCAAGUAACAACAAUCAUUUGUCACCAUAUGCAAAAGAAAUAUUAUUAAAAGAAAAAAGAAAGGAAAUACAAGAAAAUAUGGGGGAACUAGACCAAAACUCAUAUUAAAAAAAAUGGUACAUAUGUAAUCUAUACCUAUUAAUAAAGAACUCGAAGAGAAGACUAAUGGAAGCCUAUUAUACCGAUGAAAAUACUCUCUAUGAAUAAAACCUAAGUUACCAAGCUUACCAACACAUGCACUCCCUUCACGAAAAAUAUGAAAAACCUUAAACCUGAUUUCCCCACAGUAGUUAAGACAAAUGUUCCACCUAUUACAAAGCAUCCAAGGAUUAUUAGUUCUAUCAUUAAAUGCAUCACAAAUCAAGGCAGAAUCACAUUCAAGCCAUUAAGUAGUAAGACCCAAUACACUUUGUUAUGUUUUAUUUUUAUGGGUAUGCUUAGGCAGUAGAUGCUCAUUGUGUUUUAAGUUUUUGCUGCAUCCACAAUCAUUAUUAUUCCACAUGGUUCUGCUGCAUAAUGUUGUAUAAUGGGUGUUGAAUUGUGGUACUUUGGGGGAUCUUAGACAAUAGUCUCAUUAGAUCAUUUGUGUAGUCUUUUAUGGGUUGGUGGAAGGGAUAUUCAUUUUAUGAAUGAGUUUUGUUUUGUUAUCAAGAAACCAAUACCCUUAGUUGGUUUGGGUUUCUUGGAUUCUGUAUACGGGUUUAGAUACCCCUGAAGUAUCUCUUUUAUUAUAUUUUAUUCUUUCCUGAUAAAAAAAACAUUCAAGCGAUAAACUAGUAAGACCCAUCUUUUGAGUUUGUUCAAUAACAUGUAUAACUCCAUAAAACUCAGCCACCAAAGCAGUCUAAACAUCAAGAAAAGUAGAGAAAUCACCAAUAAACUUCCUCAUACUCCUACGAAAAAUACCACCACAAGAAGCAAGACCAGGAGAACCCCUAGUAGAACCAUUAGUGUUUAUUUUAACCCAAUCUGGAGAAAGAAACUCUCAUCUAACAGGAAUAUGAGAUAGAACUUUACCACUACGAGUAUUAAUACCAAAAAACUUAAAUACCUUGAAAUCAAACAUAUCAUUUCGCAUAUAACUUUUAGACUAAUUAUCCACUAGACAAGUGAGAUCUUUAAUGAUCGAAAUGGCCCUAGAAACAUCAAUUACGCCAUAUCAUCUAAAUAGAAAAAAUUAUCACAACCAGUUUAAUCAAAUUAAGCAAAGGACUACCAUCACUCUUAAUAAAAGAAAGGAAAUCAUCCACAUUAGAGAAUGAGAAUAGGAAAAUUUACUGAUAAUAUUAUUAUUUUGCUUGGAGUUAGGAUUUGAACCCAGAGCCAAAUAAAAAGUAUCAACUUAACCAUUUGGACAAAUGAUCAUUUCUUAUAUGGGAGACCCAUAAAAGUAGGGUUUUCG
rnacentral:lncRNA from 1 species